rnacentral:rRNA from 1 species
UACGUAGGGGGCAAGCGUUGUCCGGAUUUAUUGGGCGUAAAGCGCGUGUAGGCGGCUUGGUAGGUCAGCUGUGAAAACUCGAGGCUCAACCUCGAGCUGUCGGUUGAAACCACCUUGCUAGAGUCCGGAAGAGGAGAGUGGAAUUCCUGGUGUAGCGGUGAAAUGCGCAGAUAUCAGGAAGAACACCAAUGGCGAAGGCAGCUCUCUGGGGACGGUACUGACGCUGAGACGCGAAAAGCGUGGGGAGC